rnacentral:rRNA from 1 species
UGCAAGUCGAGCGGUAAGGCCCUUUUGGGGGUACACGAGCGGCGAACGGGUGAGUAACACGUGGGUGACCUGCCCUUAGCUCUGGGAUAAGCCUGGGAAACUGGGUCUAAUACUGGAUAUGACUCCAUGUCGCAUGGUGUGGGGUGGAAAGCCUUGUGCGGCUAGGGAUGGGCCCGCGGCCUAUCAGCUUGUUGGUGGGGUGAUGGCCUACCAAGGCGACGACGGGUAGCCGGCCUGAGAGGGCGAUCGGCCACACUGGGACUGAGACACGGCCCAGACUCCUACGGGAGGCAGCAGUGGGGAAUUUUGCGCAAUGGGCGGAAGCCUGACGCAGCGACGCCGCGUGAGGGAUGACGGCCUUCGGGUUGUAAACCUCUUUCAGCCCUGACGAAGCAGUGAUGUGACGGUAGGGGUAGAAGAAGCACCGGCCAACUACGUGCCAGCAGCCGCGGUAAUACGUAGGGUGCAAGCGUUGUCCGGAAUUAUUGGGCGUAAAGAGCUCGUAGGCGGUCUGUCGCGUCGGCUGUGAAAUCCCGGGGCUCAACUCCGGGCUUGCAGUCGAUACGGGCAGGCUAGAGUUCGGCAGGGGAGACUGGAAUUCCUGGUGUAGCGGUGAAAUGCGCAGAUAUCAGGAGGAACACCGGUGGCGAAGGCGGGUCUCUGGGCCGAUACUGACGCUGAGGAGCGAAAGCGUGGGGAGCGAACAGGAUUAGAUACCCUGGUAGUCCACGCCGUAAACGUUGGGCGCUAGGUGUGGGAUCCCUUCCACGGGUUCCGUGCCGCAGCUAACGCAUUAAGCGCCCCGCCUGGGGAGUACGGCCGCAAGGCUAAAACUCAAAUGAAUUGACGGGG